AAACCAGGUAAGAUCUUAGGCAUCGACUAUAUUGCUAGGCAACACUGCUUACGGUAAAAAUGAUCCUUGGUUGGUAAACUGCAUCUGAACCAGGAAGAAAUAUGAAUGAGCUGUAAAUGUCUGAUAGGAUACUUUGGCCUUCCCUGAAUGCAGUCUCUUCUUGGGAACCCUACAAACUAUAUCAAGAAUUGUUACAAGAAAUACUGGCUGCUUAAGGCAGAAGGCCUUCUUCUGAGCCACGGCAGCUCCCGUUCCUCCCUGAUGUGGAGCUUAUGCUUUGUACCUGGAACUACGCCGUGUUGGGAGACGACAGUCCCCAGAAAGCCUAUGAAUGACUUGUGGCUGAAGUUUUAGGGGGAAGGGUUUGUGCCCAAGAAACAAGAAGGCUGACAUGAGGAAGAAAGAAGACAAACAAAGAAAAAAAAAAGAAAUUAAAAAGCCUUUGGGACUGCAAAAAAACCCGCCAAAAACAACAACAACAACAACAACAAAAACCAGCAAAGAGUCCUUCCCAUCUCAACAGGGCAAUCGCAGCACAUGGCAAGAAUAAAUAAUAAAAUUAACCUAAUCAUUGA